AAGUGUUAUCUCUCUGAAAUGCCAUAAGGUGGCAGUGAAUUAGAAAAUCGGUGCUAUUUCUGGGUAGAACAAAGCUUUUAAAAGCUCGGUAGCGGUGGUGGGGAGGCUUUAUUUUUUUUUGUUUGUUUGUCUGGGGGCUCGCAUUUGUCUGCUUUCAUUUCAGGUAUCACCCUGAACAUCACAUCCAAUCGUCUUAAUACACUGAGCAGGGCUGCUCCAACGUGCACAAGCACUAUUACUGGGUCAUUCCAACAUCAGCCACGGUGAAGAGGGCAGGAGGGUGGUGUAUUGUGCCUCAGUAAGGCUGAUAAGGAUGAUCGUGCAAGGCUGCUGUGAACUUUGGUACGCCAGUGCAUCACACUCAGAUUAAUGGAUCUACCAGUUUGGCAUCUAAUUCCUUAAUAUUGCCAAGGGAAUUAGCCAAGAAACAACGCAGCGAGUGGAAAAUCAGAGAUUGUAACAGUAACAAAUUUACCGACUGCUCAGGCGUUAAUGAUUAGACAAUAAAUCCUGAAAAGUGGUUUUGAUUUUUGUCCCAGAACAAAAUCCACACCAAUCUAUGUUUAGAACACAGCACUUGCGUUUGUUUUUUCUGAGCGGGACAGAGGUUUUUAAUCCUGAGAACCCAGCAUUUUGCAACGAUUUCCUGUCACAGAACAUGUCACCACCAGCAAUUGCUUCAGAGAACAGCUGAUGUUUUGCCCAUCUGGGUGUGCGUGGGCGCACCUAGGCCUUGCAGGAUGCCAGGUAGGUUCGCCAGGACCAACAGAGCCAGGUGGUCCGAGCACUUUAAUGCAACGGGAGCUACAAAAAACUUCUGCUUCCCAGUUUUGCAGUGCAUCAUAAGAAGCCAAGACACCCCGUGCAGGUUCACGGGGACAUUGCGACACACAGAAAUCAUCUGUGACUCACUCAGUGCACCCUGAGAGAGACAUCGGGUUUCACACCGUGCCAGGACAACGUGUGGCUAAGUUUGAUGUCUUCCCUUGCUCCAGCAUUUGUCAGACCACACGUCAUUCAUAAAUAACCCUGGAAAAACAGCGCCCAGAGCCAGAGAAGCCGUGUCAGUCUGGUGGUCCUUUGACAAGCCUUCCAGAUAUUUGUGCUCCCGAAAGCAAAGAUGAUGCCCGUUCCUGCAGGACUCUGAAAAGGUUUAAAUCUAGAAAAGUGUUGGGCUCUUCUGUGUGCAUCAUCUACCUCCUUCACAUCAGAUUCACUCGAGCCACCCAUGACAGACAUCUAUCUGCUUUCUGUCGUGCUUCCCAGUGCUCCCAGCAGGCCUGUCUGUUUCUGCAAAGGGGAUACCAAGGAGCAGAUGGGUCACUCUCUCAGCAAGAAAUUAAAAUUAAACCCAGUGGCGUUGUGUUAACAGUGGUCCCCAGAGCUUACCGGGGCUCUCUACAACACAAUAUUAGAGGAAGGGCCCAUGUGUGUCCCGUGCUCACUAUUUCCACACCUCCCCAGUC